rnacentral:rRNA from 1 species
ACGUCGGGGUUCCACCUCUAUCCAUUCCGAACAGAGCAGUUAAGCCCGAUCGUGCCGA